AUUAGGGUAAAACAUGUUUUACAUGUUCUCGCAACGCAAUCGUCGACUUGGGGGAUGCAGCAAUAAUGAUUUCUACAGAUACGGGUUACGUUUCAAAGAAAGCCAUCGACAGAAUGGUUUUUCUUUCACUUAAUACAAAUUAAUACCGAAGGACCAGCUGGAAUUAGCCAAUACAAGUUUUUUUUUUCAAAGUUCCAUGUUAAAAAAGAUAUAAUAAAAAAGAUGUCUGAUUGUGAUUAUUAUUAGCACUUAAUUAUUGUGUCAUAAUUUUUAAGGGGGGCUUAUAAGGGUUGUUAUCCAGUGUUGCUUUUCCCCUGAAUUAAAGCACAGAACCCCUUGAAGAACUGCCGCUGACAUUUUCAUUUCAUUUGACAGUUUUUUCAUGGCCAAGCAAGACCAAGAUAAAUGUUAUCUUAUUUUAUGUUUGGAUACGGCUCUCCCUUUUUAAUAAACUUUUAAAACUUAGUAGCCCUAUUCUUUGGUAGAUCAGGCAUAUUUGAAAUGGGAUUUUCCUCAGUCUGUUUCCAUUCCUGUUCCCGUAAACAUCUAUAUUGUUGAAUUUUCGUUCUAUUUGAAUUUUGACUUUGCUUACUUUGCUUGGAAGAGUUGGAAAAAAUUGAAUAUUAUUUCACAAAACAGUCCGAAGGGUUGGAGCUCCAAAGAUUGGCUGAAAUAAAUGUGCGAUUUAAGCACCUACAAAAUAUAGUCCAUGCGGAAGAUGAAAUCAUGGCAUACUUUAUGCUGGAAAUUAAAACAAUUUGCAGCACAAGAAGUUUUCUGUUCUCCUUGCUGCAGCCCCUGCUGUGGACCCUGCUGCAGUCCGUGCUGCAGUCCGUGCUGCGGUCCGUGCUGCAGCCCCUGCUGUGGACCCUGCUGCAGUCCGUGCUGCAGUCCGUGCCGCAGUCCGUGCUGCAGCCCCUGCUGCACUCCCUGCUGCUCCCCCUGCUCCUAUCCCUGCUGCUAUCCCUGUGGGGCCCCAGGCGCUGGAUUCUGGUUCAGCCAAAUUUAUUGAUGCAAACAGCUAUGCAAUAAAAUCAUAACAAGAAACUACAUGAAAUCCGUACAAUUAAGCAAAUAAAAUUAGUUUUUAACUAUU